UUUAGAUAGCUUAAAUUAGAGCGUAAUAUUGAAGAUAUUAAAGUGGUUAUGUUAACCUUUAAAUAA
rnacentral:tRNA from 1 species